GCCCGUAUCAACCGCGACAUGCGAUCCCUCUCCAGCCUCCGCUCUUGGUAAUCGUUCUGCCGCGAGCCACCUGGAGACGUCCGAUCGCUGGUUCAGGCGCAGCAACCCCAACCCCUCUACCCACCGUCCCGCACUCGCCAUCACCAGCCAAAUCAUCGCCGCAAAGUUCUUCUUCACGCUCGAUUCUGGCUAGCUGUGGCGACGGAUCCGCGGCAAGCGAUCGAUUGAUUCCACAAAAUGCGCUCCAUCUUGACGCAGAGGCCCAUCAGUGCCGCCGCCAUCCACGUGAAGCGACGCAGUCGAUGGCCCGCCCCGACUGCGCACCCAUGGUUGCCCUCUGCACGGUCGCUGCUCUUGCGCCCUCGACCUCGCGUCCCCGCUGCCCCUGACCUCGAUGGAGCCGCGCGGCUGUGUGCGUCGCUCGCCUGCUCCCGCUACAUGCCGGCGCGGCCGCUCAUGGCGUGCUUCGUUCAGCGGUGGAAGCUUGGACGUGAGGUCGUGGGUUGAGCAGUGGGAUCACCUGUAUGAGGCGCCAUCAGAGUGUUGUAGACGCCAAACUACAGCAAUUGCACGCCACGGUGAGUGAUAACUGAUUUUACUUCCGCUCGUGAUUUGGUUGCCUGAUUACCUUUGGUUGCAUUAGCAAUUAGAAUUCACACAGGUAACUGCCUAACUGGUUUCCGUCAGCCUCCAUUCUAAUGAAGUUCAGUCAAGAGAAUGAUUUUUAGUAUAGCCCUAAAAACUGAUAUUGAUCUGGUUCUUAUUAAUUUAACAACAAAUGGCAUGUUUUCUGUACUCGACUAAUUAACUGAUGGCCUACUCAUUUUUCUUACUGAUUUCCUGUGCAUUAUGUGUUAGUUUGAUCUCAACCCCGGAUCGGUCCAACGACCGAUCCGGAGUCUGUUACGCGCCCCGAUCGGGGGCGCACAGCCAAGCCAAUGGCAUGUGGGCCCCCGUCGCGCAGCGCCAAAAUAAAAGAAGAGGUGGGGGCGGCGCACGCGGAACGAGGUUCACCGCGUUGCCUGUAGCCCCACCAAAACCCUAGCCCGAUCCGAUCUAAGGGGCGCUGAAGCGACGGGAAGCUCCACAGCCACUGCACCGCAUCGCCGCCGUCUCACCCUCGACCUCUACUCCGGCUAGAUCUCUUCUUCGCGUCAUCAACCGGAGGAUCUAAUGCAAUGACUUUUAUUAAUACUAUACCGCCGUUGGAUGGUUCCAACUACGGGAUAUGGGCACAGAAGCUAGAAGUGGCUCUCGCACUGUCAGAUAUUGACUUAGCUAUCACCUCACAGUUUCCCGUUGGUCCCGAGGAACUGGUGCGGGACCCGGAUGAGAGCUCUGCCGCUUGGCAAGCUCGCCAAAGAGAACAUGCAAAUGUUCAAAUGAAAUAUGAUCUUGAGAGAGCAAAAUGGAACUCUUCCAACAGAAAGUGCCUGAUGGUCAUCAAGAGUUCCAUUAUAGACAGUAUCAGGGGAGCAAUCCCAGAUUGCGCCACCGCAGUUGAGUACUUGAAGAAAGUUGAGAGUCAAUUUGUUGGCUCUUCAAAAGCUUAUGCGCAAACUCUGAUUCAGAGGUUAGUAAAUGACAA